GUGAGGAAUAUUGGUCAAUGGGCGAGAGCCUGAACCAGCCAAGUCGCGUGAAGGAAGAAGGAUCUAUGGUUCGUAAACUUCUUUUGCAGGGGAAUAAAGUGCGGGACGUGUCCUGUUUUGUAUGUACCCUGAGAAUAAGGAUCGGCUAACUCCGUGCCAGCAGCCGCGGUAAUACGGAGGAUCCGAGCGUUAUCCGGAUUUAUUGGGUUUAAAGGGUGCGUAGGUGGUUUGAUAAGUCAGCGGUGAAAGUUUGCAGCUUAACUGUAAAAAUGCCGUUGAAACUGUCGGACUUGAGUGUAAAUGAGGUAGGCGGAAUGCGUGGUGUAGCGGUGAAAUGCAUAGAUAUCACGCAGAACUCCGAUUGCGAAGGCAGCUUACUAAGCUACAACUGACACUGAAGCACGAAAGCGUGGGGAUCAAACAGGAUUAGAUACCCGUGUAGUCC
rnacentral:rRNA from 1 species